GAUGAAGAACGUAGCAAAAUGCGAUAAGUAAUGUGAAUUGCAGAAUUCAGUGAAUCAUCGAAUCUUUGAACGCACAUUGCGCCCGCUGGUAUUCCGGCGGGCAUGCCUGUUCGAGCGUCAUUUCAACCCUCAAACCCCCCGGGUUUGGUGUUGGGGAUCGGCUCUGCCUCACGGCGGUGCCGCCCCCGAAAUACAUUGGCGGUCUCGCUGCAGCCUCCAUUGCGUAGUAGCUAACACCUCGCAACUGGAACGAGGCGCGGCCAUGCCGUAAAACCCCAACUUCUGAAUGUUGACCUCGGAUCAGGUAGGAAUACCCGCUGAACUUAAGCAUAUCAAUAAGCGGAGGA
rnacentral:misc_RNA from 1 species